UCCAUUGCUUGCAUUUGGCAUAAAUGGCGUAUCUCUUGGCUCACAUAAGCUGAAAACUUUUGCGAAAAGGAUGUGAAAUGAAUAAACAAAUCACAUGAGAAUCAUACUUUAUAUAACAACUUCCCGGUGUGAAGAAUUUUCGGAUUUGUCUGUUGACCCUCAUUGUUUCGACCCAGGCCCUCGCAAAGCAAUUCCCACAGGAAUCUAGCCUGCUUUUCCUUACUUUGAGUUUGAGUUUCCCUGCUAGCAGAGGCCUCUUUUCUCUGUAUUUCGCUGGGCUGGAGCUCGCGAACGCAAGCACAGCCUGAUUCCUCGGCAAUGGAAAAUCGUGUGGGGCUGAGGUUUAGGCUUGUUGGACUUCAACUGUCAACUGAGGAUGUCGCGUGAUUUGAGCGGGAGGAGUAAGUGUUUUUGAGGACGGAACGUGAGGGCCUCGGAUCUUUCUCGUCAUGGCUGAUGUUGUGUUAACAUACCUUGAGUCAUCGAGUCUGGUUUUCUUGUUGACGGCUUGAUGACAAGAGGCGCCAUCUAAAGGGAGGGACACAUUCGAUUGCUCCUGCCCGGCUGCGGCCACAGCAGAAGUUGUGACAGGAUGCGUAGGACUGUUUGCUGCUACCUCUCCUCGACUGGUAUUUAAAACCUGUUGAUACAAAACAACACUCUCAGCUGUCACAGUAGUUCCACAACUUCUGCUUACUGUUAUAAAAAAUCUGAUGUUAACUGUUUUCAAUCAUCUGUUACCUUUCGUCAAUUUUUUUCUGAAAACUUUUUGUCAAACUUCAGUACUGGUAUUCGUAAAAUUGCUGAACUAUUGUUCACUUUUGUCAAAAUAUCAAAUUUUUCCAAACACUUCUCUACUACUGUCAUACUUGUGUUAAACAUGUCACGCUUUGUCAAACUUUGUUAAGCUGCUGCUGAUUUUUGUCACUUCUUUAAAAAAUUUAAAUUUUGCCAAACUUUUCUUACUGGUGUUCAAUUUUGACCAAUUCUUGUUAGGUUUUGUCAAUUUUUUGGGAUGUGUACUUACAGAAGAACUGGUAUCAGACGUUGUCGUGUUCGGCGUUGAUGGGCUAACUGGCUGCUUUUUACAAGGGGAUCUUAAAUGUAAAUUAAUAUCAUGUCAAGGGCUCAUCAAAUCAAUAAUUAUGACAAAACGAAUAAACCUUGGAGGCCUGAGCUUGGGAAGCCUGUGGUUUUACAAAGAGAGGCAACACGCCGUUUGUUUUCACAUACCCCGAUGACUUGUCAUCUGGAGUAUCAUCAUCAUCAGAAAUGUCAUCAUCGCUUUCAUUUGAUGCCAAAGGUACUGAAGCAGGGUCAGCGCCCUCUGCACAGCUACAUCAAACAACGGGACAAAUUUAUAAGACUCACAGCUGGUAAAAACAUACUAUAUCAGUUAUUUUCCCGUCGCUUUAAUUUCGAGAUUUUCAAAAAAUCACAAUUUUUUUUUUGCGAUUCUCAAAAAUUUGCUAGAAUUUGAAUGCACGAAAAUUAAGAAGCAAAUUUUCCAAAAGGACGCUAAAUUCAAUCCUUAACACUAAGUUACUCCUAUUUGUUCCACUAACGUUUCACUUGCCAAAAAUACUUUGCCCUUGUCGUACCUAUACUUAGCGGCCCGCUCUGACAGUAGAGAGCUUCCAGCACUUGAUUCGCCAGUAGUUUCGCUAGGUGUGGCUUCUUUACUACAGUCGUCAAACACAUUUGCAUCCAGUACAAGCCCUUUAGAGAGGUCAGGCCUGCAGACAAUCAGAACAAAGAUAAGUUAAUGAAUGUGGGACGGUACAGUAAAGCCUUUCCCUUUGGGAAGUUUCACGGUCCAAAUAAAAAAAAUUCCGCACAAUAUCAUAAUGACAGCUUUCUAAGAUACAAGCUGUAGGUCCCAACAGUUAUCCAUCCAUUGUACUUCAGGAAAAAUUCCCAGAAUGUGCAUUUAAAAUUCUUUCACAAAUUCAACCAUUAAUUUGAUUAAUUUUUUAAUCAUGACAUGUUUAGCAAAUCACCAAUCUUUAGUUGUUUUGACCUUGAAGGAAACCACACACUUAUAUUCAUAAGUACAUAAAUGUCAUGUCACAUGUCACGCAUAAUGUACUACUGUCUACAAGACCCGCACUCACAGUCUUACUUACUCCUUUUGCUGAUCUGUUGAUGACUCCUCGUUUUUGAUAACUACGAGUAAACAACAACAAAACUAUUAGAGAAUAACGAUAAACAAAUUCCACGUUAUUGUAAACAUCUGAGUAUAGCGUAAAAUGGUCUU